CUGGAGCCAGGAUCCACCCCUGUUCAGACCAGGGUUGGCAGUGAAGGGGUGAGUUUCUUGCUGGAGCUCCCUGCAUACCUGAGGCCUUCUGGAGAAGAUCCUGUAUGUUCACUCUGAAUACCUGAAUGUUAUUGUAAGAGCUGCGGAUGUUCAGGUGGUUUUACUGUUAUGAAUGCUGGGGAUCCUCAAAGAAAGAGUACAGGAGACACAAAGCCAGCAAAACCUCGAUGGUCCACAACAUAAACAAAUUUAAUGAGAAGAAAAGAGUCAGCAAUCAUUUCAUCUUCCCUGCAAAGCCUGCUGCUAUGAUAAGGAAAACAACAUCCAGGCCACGCAGCAAGACACCAAGACUUUGUGCUCUUGCUAAAGAGUGGGGGAACAGAAGGGAUUGACAAAGGAAGGAAAUGAGGCCACCUACUUGCUAUGAUACUGAAGAUUUUCAUCUUUGCAGACUGCUGGUGACAUGCAUCAAUCUGUACUUCAGAUUAUUACUUCUACACUCUUGCACGCUUGUAGCAACUGUGUGUUUCUAAGUCAGAAUCAGCAUGCUUUUCUCUGAUCAACAGCUGCUUGUCUAAUGGUGGAAUAUGAAAGAGUUGCAGAACUGAAGCUUGGUGACUCGCUGCCUGUUGAUGACCCUCAGUGCUGACCAAAAGCCACAGGGUGAUGCAUGAUUGAGGCAGUAGAUGGGUGACGUUCCCCUGCCUUUUGCACAAGUUGUAGGAAUUCCUCUGCAUCAGUGAACUGUGGCUGUGUUUUCCAAGAUUGGGUUUGGAAGAGCCGACCCCAGACUGUGCUUGGAGAAGGGACUUGCUUGGACAGGACUGCUAGGAAUAUGGAAAGCCUGACCUCAGAGCACCAUUUUGUGUUGCUUUGUGAAGCACAUUACUGUUGAAAUCACAUUACCAAGCAACUAUUGCCCUUUUCAAGAGGGAAGAGGAUGACAGGAGCCUAAGCGAAGCAAGGAUAAUGCAAUUUAAAGUAUUAUGACGCACAUAUAUUUAAUAGUACAUCACAUGUAAGGAAACAAGCACAAACAAUCACAAUAUUGCAAGAUGAACGCGGGUCCUACAAUGUUAAAUUUAGUGCCUUGUGAUGGAUGUUCCUUUGUUUGCAGGUUUUCUUUUUCUGUAUACGUUAUUUCUGUAGGAUAAGCAUCUUAGCGGCUGGAAGAAACAUACAACUUUUUUUAUUUUCUAGCGUGUAAUUUCUGUUUGAUUCACAGCUAAUAAAUAGGUCAUCUUGUACUUUCGAAAUGCCAACAUGCAGUAAUUCAGGGAAAUAGAGGCUCUACAUUAAAAAGCUGUCAACCUUGGUGCAAUUUUCCUGCACCCGGCGCUCCAGAAAGAUACCU